GGGGAAAUGAUAACAAACUCCCUGUUACGAAGAGAGGUGAUGACAUAAAAAUCAUGCUCAAUAGGAUUACGCUGAGGCUC
ensembl:snoRNA SNORD115 Small nucleolar RNA SNORD115